UACGUAGGGAGCAAGCGUUGUCCGGAUUUACUGGGUGUAAAGGGUGCGUAGGCGGCUUUGCAAGUCAGAAGUGAAAUCCAUGGGCUUAACCCAUGAACUGCUUUUGAAACUGCAGAGCUUGAGUGGAGUAGAGGUAGGCGGAAUUCCCGGUGUAGCGGUGAAAUGCGUAGAGAUCGGGAGGAACACCAGUGGCGAAGGCGGCCUACUGGGCUCUAACUGACGCUGAGGCACGAAAGCGUGGGUAGCAAACAGG
rnacentral:rRNA from 1 species